rnacentral:rRNA from 1 species
GCAGCAGUGGGGAAUUUUGGACAAUGGGCGCAAGCCUGAUCCAGCAAUGCCGCGUGCAGGAAGGAGGCCUUCGGGUUGUAAACUGCUUUUGUCAGGGAAGAAAUCUUCUGGGCUAAUACCCCGGGAGGAUGACGGUACCUGAAGAAUAAGCACCGGCUAACUACGUGCCAGCAACCGCGGUAAUACGUAGGGUGCGAGCGUUAAUCGGAAUUACUGGGCGUAAAGCGUGCGCAGGCGGCUUUGCAAGACAGAGGUGAAAUCCCCGGGCUCAACCUGGGAACUGCCUUUGUGACUGCAAGGCUAGAGUACGGCAGAGGGGGAUGGAAUUCCGCGUGUAGCAGUGAAAUGCGUAGAUAUGCGGAGGAACACCGAUGGCGAAGGCAAUCCCCUGGGCCUGUACUGACGCUCAUGCACGAAAGCGUGGGGAGCAAACAGGAUUAGAUACCCUGGUAGUCCACGCCCUAAACGAUGUCAACUGGUUGUUGGACGGCUUGCUGUUCAGUAACGAAGCUAACGCGUGAAGUUGACCGCCUGGGGAGUACGGCCGCAAGGUUGAAACUCAAAUGAAUUGACGG